CAGUAGCCGCGGGAAUACGAAGGGGGCUAGCGUUGCUCGGAAUGACUGGGCGUAAAGGGCGCGUAGGCGGCGAUCAAAGUCAGGCGUGAAAUUCCUGGGCUCAACCUGGGGGCUGCGCUUGAUACUUGGUUGCUUGAGUGGGGAAGAGGGUCGUGGAAUUCCCAGUGUAGAGGUGAAAUUCGUAGAUAUUGGGAAGAACACCGGUGGCGAAGGCGGCGACCUGGUCCUUGACUGACGCUGAGGCGCGAAAGCGUGGGGAGCAAACAGGAUUAGAUACCCGCGUAGUCCCUGUCUCUUAUAC
rnacentral:rRNA from 1 species